rnacentral:rRNA from 1 species
UUGGAGGGCAAGUCUGGUGCCAGCAGCCGCGGUAAUUCCAGCUCCAAUAGCGUAUAUUAAAGUUGUUGCAGUUAAAAAGCUCGUAGUUGAAUUCCGGGAUCAGUACGCCGGUCGUGCCUCCGGUAUGUACUGGUGUCACUGAUUCCUCCCUUCUGAAGAACCAUCAUGCCAUUCACUUGGUGUGGUGGGGAAUCAGGACUGUUACUUUGAAAAAAUUAGAGUGUUUAAAGCAGGCUCACGCUUGAAUACAUUAGCAUGGAAUAAUGAAAUAGGACGUUGAUCCUAUUUUGUUGGUUUCUAGGAUUGACGUAAUGAUUAAUAGGGAUAGUUGGGGGCAUUAGUAUUCAAUUGUCAGAGGUGAAAUUCUUGGAUUUAUUGAAGACUAACUACUGCGAAAGCAUUUGCCAAGGAUGUUUUCAUUAAUCAAGAACGAAAGUUAGGGGAUCGAAGACGAUCAGAUACUGUCGUAGUCUUAACCAUAAACUAUGCCGACUAGGGAUCGGAUGAGUCCAUUAGCCCC